rnacentral:rRNA from 1 species
GAUGAACGCUGACAGAAUGCUUAACACAUGCAAGUCAACUUGAACUUCGGUCUGGGUGGCGGACGGGCGAGUAACGCGUAAAGAACUUGCCUCACAGAUAGGGACAACAUUUGGAAACGAAUGCUAAUACCUGAUAUUAUGAUUUUAGGGCAUCCUAGGAUUAUGAAAGCUAUAUGCGCUGUGAGAGAGCUUUGCGUCCCAUUAGCUAGUUGGAGAGGUAACGGCUCACCAAGGCGAUGAUGGGUAGCCGGCCUGAGAGGGUGAUCGGCCACAAGGGGACUGAGACACGGCCCUUACUCCUACGGGAGGCAGCAGUGGGGAAUAUUGGACAAUGGACCAAGAGUCUGAUCCAGCAAUUCUGUGUGCACGAUGAAGUUUUUCGGAAUGUAAAGUGCUUUCAGUUGGGAAGAAAAAAAUGACGGUACCAACAGAAGAAGAGACGGCUAAAUACGUG